rnacentral:misc_RNA from 1 species
GGAUGGAUCAUUAAACUUAUCCAAGUAUCAACCAACGUGCACUUUGUUGUUGAGUAUAUUCUUAACUGAAUAUGCCCAUCUUUUUUUUUAAACCCAUUGUAUUAUUUCUAUGAAUUAUUUAUUCUUUGUCGCGGCCGAAAGGCGGACUUUCUUUAAAAUCGUAAGAAAUGUUAAGCACAACUCUUAACAACGGAUAUCUAGGCUCUCGGAUCGAUGAAGAACGCAGCGAAAUGCGAUACGUAAUGCGAAUUGCAGGAUUCAGUGAAUCAUCAAAUCUUUGAACGCAACUUGCAGCUGUUGGUAGCCCGACAGCUAUACCUCUCUGAGUAUCGUCUUCAAACCAUCUCGUCUGCGUACUUUUUUUUCAAGUACAAGGACGGAAAAUGAGAGUCUGGCCUGGUAACGGGCUAGUCUCUUGAAAUACAGUGUCUGCCUCUCUGUGGAAAUGAGGCUGCUAGUUCAUCUUUUUUCGCAUUCGGUUAUGAUGUCGAAAGGCAUUGUAGCUGUUUAAUUGCGAAAGAGAUGGCGGAUUUAGAAGCCAAGUAGCAUACCCUGUUCUUGGCCGUAUACCUGGGAAACGAGUUCUUCUGAUCUCGAUUCUAAGUCUUACGAUAAAAAUUCUUUUAUACCAGCGUUUGAGCGCUAAAAUCCAACUAGUUAAGGGAGAUAAUAAGGAAAAGCUCGUAAGAGUUUUUCUUUUAAAAAACUUUAACUAGGGAUGCAAAAGCAAAGGUAUGAAACGAAUCGAAAGGCAAGGGAUUGAAGAACAAGAUUCCAAUCAGGAAAACGGCUGAGGUAGUGUGAGGAAUAAUGACUUUUUCGUUGUUUCUUCUUACAAUACUGAUUUGAAACAGAUGGGGGUCUAGAGCUGAAGGUGCUUCGUUUUAACAAUCUCUUAGCAGUCUAUCUUUAAGUUUCGUGACAGUAGGUACGAGCGUCUUAGCCUUGGUGAUGAGCCAUUGGUCUUAAGAUAUAUAUACUAAACAUAUAAUAAACCCUUGAAAUUUGAUCUCAGAUGAAGUAAGACUACCCGCCGAAUUUAAGCAUAUUAUUAAGCGGAGGAGAAGAAACUAACAAGGAUUCCCCUAGUAACGGCGAGUGAAGCGGGAAGAGCUCAAAGUUAAAAUCGGUGUACCUAGCGGUGCUCCGAAAUGUAAUCUGGAGACCUUGUCCCAGUCUAGACCCGAGUUUAAAUCCUUUGAAACAGGGUGUCAUAGAGGGUGAGAAUCCCGUCUUUGACUCGGAGUUCUAGGCGUACGGGCGGGGAUCAAAGAGUCGGAUAGCUUGGGAAUGCUGUCCUAAAUGGGUGGUAAAUUUCAUCUAAAGCUAAAUACAGCCGAGAGACCGAUAGCGAACAAGUACCGUGAGGGAAAGAUGAAAAGAACUUUGAAAAGAGAGUUAAAAAGUACUUGAAAUUGUUAAGAGGUAAGCUCUAAAAUCCAGUGCUGCUGGGCUCCACUUAGCUGUCGCUGAAACGUGGUGUUCCAGGCCGACGACCUAAAAAGCGUUUGGUUUGGCCUGCGGUAAGGCUAGGUGACGUGGAUCUUGGUGAGUCAAGGUCAGGUAGUGUGCCGCGCGGGAGAAAGCUGGCGGAAGAAGGGCUGCUAAGGGCGACCUUAGUGGCAGUUUAGACGCUUGCUCUACCGUGUCGCUGCCUGAGGAAAACUUAUCGAUAACGUGCCACGCGGUUGUCAGAUCCCGGUAGCCAACGAUUGACUCACGAUUGUGUCGUGUUAGGUCGUUGGUGGCUGAUGGUUUGAUAAUUGACUGCACGUUCGCGAUCUUGACGAAAUGGUUUUUAGAGACCCGUCUUGAAACACGGACCAAGGAGUCUAACCUAUAUGCGAGUAUUUGGGUGUGAAAACCCUGAUGCGUAAUGAAAGUGAAGGUAGCCUUUUGUGCUGCUGAGGUAGGAAACCUGUCACAGGGUGGCACUAUCGACCGAUCAAUCCUUCUGGAAAGAUUUGAGUAAGAGCAUAUCUGUUGGGACCCGAAAGAUGGUGAACUAUGCCUGAUCAGGGUGAAGCCAGGGGAAACUCUGGUGGAGGCUCGUAGCGAUACUGACGUGCAAAUCGUUCGUCUGAAUUGGGUAUAGGGGCGAAAGACUAAUCGAACCAUCUAGUAGCUGGUUCCCGC